UAGCCAAUCCAGCCCCGCUGGGUCUUGGGCUCGCCGGUAGGCGUCCCUCAAAGCCAGUGGCGGCGCCGUCCGGCUCCCGAGCGUAGUACAACCCCUCGCUACGGGACCGGGCGCGCGCCCGCCAGCAAACCCUUCUAC
rnacentral:misc_RNA from 1 species